CCGCUCCGGCGCGUCAUUCAGUAAAGUCGGAGUAGGUGCCGGCAGAAGCUCAGGGCCACUCUUUACCCGAGGGAGUGAGAAUGCGGCAGUGGACGAGACCUCCGCGGUGGCUUUUCUUUCUGGAAACGUCGCAGGCCUUUCUGGGGUGACUAGAGAAUGCACAUGUGACUUCGGUGUCCGUUGGAGUCCAUUCCAGACCCCAGCAGGCCCAGGACCACCAGUUUAGAACCCCCAUCUAUAGACAUUGCUCUGUGGUCGGUGGUGUUGAAUGACGUACUUCUUCCACCAGAUGGAGCCUGGUUCCGCAAGUUUCUUGCCGUAGUUCUCGGUGCUUGAAGCUGUGCUGAUCCUUGAAUAGUAUGAGUAUCAUGAAUCUGUUUGCAGGUGUCCAGCAUACUCUGUGACCUGUACUUUGGACUUUCCAGCCCCUCGAAUUAUAAGUUUUUAAAUAA